AAGGCCUCGAGGAGGGGCUGGGAGUGUAGCUCAGUUGGUCCAGGGCUGGCUUAGCAUGCUCAGAUCUCCGGAUUCCAUCUCCAGGGAACAGCACUGAGGGAUGAAGACCUAUUCCCUGUGGGACAAAGGACAGCCCUGCUUACUACAUGGGACAAAAAGCAUGGAUCCUUAAGCUCAGAAAUCUUGAACUGUAACACAAACCCACUGGGGGUUCAGCACGUCCCUCUUGUGCUCCAACCACACACAUCAUGACAGACUGAAGGCAGAAGCGGGGAGAACUCAGCUGUCUUCUAAUCCAGGCAUUAAAGAGAUUCACAAGUCUGUCAGGCGAUGCUGCUCUCCUUGCUCUGUGCUUUUGGAAA